UAAAAGUCAAUCAGCUUAUGUAGAAUGUUGUUACAGUACUGCUGAUUGAUUUUUAUGACGAUCUAACACACGGUGUGGAAAAAACUGCUUUUUUCGUUUUCGAUUUUUGCGAUUUCUAUGUUCAACCUUAAAAAUCUAUAACCAGUGUGCUUCUAGAGAGCAACGUAUAAAAUUGUAAUAUUUGAAUAUAUUUUAUACUACGUUCACACUACGAGUUAAAACGUGUUUUAACGCUAUCUUGAUGACAUUUUUCUUAUUGCUAAUUAUUGUAACAUGUUUUGCUUAUUGCUAAUUAUUGUAACAUGUUUUAACUCUGUAGUGUGAACGUCUCUUCAAGAUCACUUAAAAAUAGUGAUUGAUUUAAAUUGUAUUGGUUUUGCCUUUCUGGCAUGGAAAAGUUACGCAAUCGCAUAACUUAACUUUGAUAACCGAGGCCGGGAUGGCAGAGUUUCGACAAAAUCGGAAAACGUCUGUGUGUGUUUAUGUGCAUGAAUGUAUGUGUAUGUGUGCAUAUAUGUGUGUGUAUGUCACAAAUAUGUAACCUCAGUUUCUGAGUCUGAAAUGAAAGAUAUAGUAUCACAGUUGGGGUUCGUCGCGGUGCAGCUGCGGGCAGUAAAUGGAUGUACUGCACCGUCACUGCAAAAAAGAAUCAUAAUCGCACUGCAUACAGCACCCGCACUGCAUUUACCGCACCGCAACUGCGCGGUGAUGCGAUGAAAAUAAAAUAUGACCAAUCUGGAUGUUAGGAACCGAGUUUUGAUUGAUCUUUAUUUUUCCAGUAAUUUGACUUGCAUUAUUUUGUGAACCUAAUACAUUUUGAACUGGUAUAAAGGUAUAUCAAUAUAAUUUUGAUUGGAGAAGAAAAUCAGAUUCUGCUGAACAAAAACUUAUUCUGACACAAAACACAAAUCACUGAGAAAGUGAAGUUCUGACCAAGCUAGCUCGCAACUCAUAAUUGUUAAUACAAUGUCAUUUUUAUUACACAAAAGACUGAUAGCGAUUUCGUUUUUACCUGGUGCUACACCCGUGUAGUGCAAAAAAGAAACAGAUUGAUUACACCCAAGUUUGAAUGGGUGUAGCACCGACUUCUCCGGUGCGUACGUGUAGGCUAUUGUUUUCGUUGUUCAAGGUAGCACUGAUUUAUCAUAAAAGGGCUAAUUGAAAGCGUUAUAUUUUUUCUGUUCAUUUUAAACAAUCUCUUGAUCACAGAAAAUGCAAAGUGCUAGUUUAAUAUAAACUCUGUUCUAUUUAGUAACAAUUUAUAGAAAUGCAAACCUUAUUUUUUGUGCAUUUGUACCAGUUUUAGGAAAUAUACACCGAUUUAUUAAAACCAAGAGUGCUACUAUGAUUUACACACACCAUUCUUUGGUCAUCAAGUAUACAAAGGGGCAUUUUGAAAAGUGAACGAUUAGAUUAUAUUUUUCAAUUUUUAUUUUGAAACUACAUGUUUUUACUUUUAGAUUUUAAUUUCAGAGCCUGAAAAACAUCCUCGACUUUGAGACGUUAUUGAAUACAUUAAUGUUGAAGUUGCUACCGAUUUUUCAUAAAAGCUUUGGUCCAAUUUCUAUUUUGUUAUUAAUUAUUUAGAAAACAUAUCGCCCUUUUUUGAGAAGAACAAAACUUUUGCAACGAUGUAUCCUUUUUUAAAUUUUUACGUCAUUUGAUAUAAAAUUAAUUUAAAAGAAAAUGUUUACUGAAUAAUGUUCCUGAACCUGAACAUCGAAUGUAAUUUGAUAAUUUGUAAAGUUCGUGUUUAUUAUUGUUUCAACGAAAUUCCAAUUUCAUUUGAAUAGCAAUAAUAAUAAAAUAUACUUGUAUCCACUGUUACUGAUAGCCAAGACACAAUCCUACCAGCCGGGCGGUCUCAUUUUUAAUUAGUGGAAACUGGUAAGACAGGAAUACAAAUACAAAAUGUUUAAUAUCUCCGCCGAUCGUAAACGAAUUUUGAAAGUUAUUUGCUUAAAACCUGAUCUGUUUUAACAAAGUCACCCAUAUCUCAGAAACUAAACAACUUAUCGAAAAACAAUAAUAAUAGUGUCAAAUGGUUACGUUAGCCCUUUCAUUUACAACUGGUUUAUUUAAAAUCAGUUCAGCCAUUGCUGAGAUAAUUACAUCAACAACUUCUAACCUGAUAGCUUACACUUCUAAGUUGUUUCCCGCCGUCGAGAAGCGUCAUCAGGUGGACGCAAUUUACGUCGAUUUCUCAAAAGCUUUCGACAAAGUACCGCACCAUAUCGCAAUCUUGAAAUUAAAACGUUUGGGAUUUCCCACCUGGCUGACAAACUGGUUGCAGUCGUAUCUUUCCGAUCGCUCGGCAUUCAUGAGUAUAAAAAACAUGCGCUCAAGCACAUUCAGAACACUCACAGGUAUCCCACAAGGCAGUCAUCUGGGCCCGCCUAUUUUUAUUCUGUUUAUUAACGAUAUCUGUAGUCGGAUCAAGUCUGAGAAAUUGCUGUACGCGGACGAUCUCAAAAUCUUCCGAACUAUCGCUUCUGCACUUGACGCCGUAGUGCUUCAAGAAGAUAUCUGUACUAUUCAAGAAUGGUGCACGCUUAACGGAAUGGAAAGUCAACAUUAAUAAAUGCAAAGUAAUCAGUCUCGGACGCUUGUUUAUUCCAGGACGUUAUGAAUACAGCCUAAAAGGAAGAACAAUUGAAAGCGUGGACUCGAUCCGUGUUGAAGCUUUUCCGACCAUAUCACUGCGACAACUGCUAAGGCUUUCGGAAUGCUGGGCUUCUUAAAGCAGAAUACGGCGGACUUCGACGAUUUCUACGCACUAAAAGCACUUUACUGUACCCUUAUCAGAAGUGUUCUGGAGUAUGCUGUACAGGGGUGGGCACCAUACCAUGCCGUUCAAAUUGACCGACUCCUUAUGCCGAUAGAUGUAUGCUACUCGGUCUGCAGACUCUGGCGACUCGCCGUAUCUUCCAGCAAAGAGUUUUUGUUUUCGACCUGCUGUCAGGUAAUAUCGACAUCUCUCGAGCGUUAAUUUGUAUGCGCCUCCUCGCGUUCUUCGAAACCCCACUCUGUUGUGGAUCCCUAGACACCGUACUUCAUAUGGACAAAAUAAUCCACUGGAAAGAUGUUGCCGCAGAUUUAACGAAGCUUCUUCAGUGUAUGAUUUUAACGUUUCCAAGCAUAGAUAUAAGUUAUUAAUAAGAAAUAUAUAGUUUUAAAAUGUGUCUGUACGGUGUAUACUGAAGAUAAGAAAUAAAUAAAUACAUGACAUUAGUGUACAUACACACACAUGCAUACAGACAUUGUUCCAAUUUGUCGAGCCGAGUCGAUUAGUAUAUGAGACUCGACCCGGCGGGCCUCGUAAAAAGUUUUCAAAGUUGGAGCGAAUCCUGUAUAUUCCUUUUAAAAGAUAUGUAAUGCUUUUUUAAGCAAUUUGUGCAUAGUAGGUUAAGUGUAAAUAUUUGAAUUAAGCUGCACAUAAUAUUUUAAGUAGUUUCUUUUUCUUUUUUGUUUCCAAGCAAGCCUACUCCACCAAGGUGUUUCAUCUUAAUAAACACAAUUUAGUCCAUAGCUCUAAAUAUUAAUACUACUAAUAGUUCUAAAGAUGAAAAGAUUUAUUCGGCGUCACUAAACCCUUUAUAAAGUGGAAACUAUAUUGCUACCUUUUCGUUUCGUUCAUAAUGCAGGAAUAUGAAGUGAGAAGUGUUCCAAUCUUAUGAAAUCUAUUUGUUAGGAGUCUGGUAAAUCUUCUUAUUACUUUUUAUUGAGAUACACUGAAAAGUGUCAGAUUGGUGAAAACUUUUUGAAAAAAAAAUACGGCGAUUUCCUUUUGGAUAAUAAAAUUUGCUCGAUUUUGAAAAAAAAAACUCUAGGCCCUAUAAAAUUUGGUGAUGCAAAUUUACUAUUUUCAAUCCGAAAAUUUGGUUUAUGAGUGGUAAAAAUUGCAAAGAAAAAAAUAAGAUGAAUUAAUAAAAGUCCGUAAUCUGUGGUCUCAUUUUUCAACUUAUCCUCAGAAUCCUGUUAAUCAGGUAAUAACCAUCAACCCACCUUAAUUUCUUUUUGAAUUUUUGAUUAAGCUCGAUUUGUCUUUAUAUUUGCACCAAUCUCGUUGGAAAUAUGUCAAACAAAACGAAGGCUGACGUUUUCUAACGGGCGGUAGCAAGUAUAUUUUCAAAACAGUUUUUAUUACGAAAUAAAUGUAAAUAUAUUCUAAAUUAAGUGAAAGAACCAUGUUUCUAUUAAUAUAACAUUUAUUAAUAGCUCCAAACUCUGGGCCUUAUAAAGCGUUAAAAUCUACAAUGCUGGUCAUCUACAAAAACUAAAAAUUACAUAUCAUUUAUCAAUCAAUCAUUUAAAACGCAUUCUAAACUCUGGCCUCGAAGAAAGCAACUAGCUAGCGGAGCAGCUACUGGCUGGCAGUCUACAAGCAAUAAUUUAUAUAAUAUUCUAAAGAAUUCACAUUUAUCCAGCUCAAUUUGCAAGUUUGCGUCAUUCAGCUUUUGAAAAAUUUCCGAAGAUGAUAUUUGUGCUCUUGGACUGAGCUCGAGAAUAUACUGAUAUCAUCCAUGUAGACAAAGCAGCAUAUUCCGAUAAAUUCUCUAAGUAUACAAUCCAUCACAUUUUGCGAACUUGCUUCUGAACUCUUCUUCAAAAAUUUGUGGGUAUUUGUAAGAUUUCGUAUGAAUUGGAAUAUCACCUGCCAUCCGAAUUUUAUGUUUAAUUUUACGUGUAAACGUUAGUUUCGUUGUUCUAGAAUGUCGCGAUAUUCAUUUAUAAUUUGUUUCAAGGCCUAUUCCUCUUCCAUGUUCAUGUGGUCUUUCCUGAAAUCGUAAUUAAUUGCUUCUAUUUUUGAAGAAGUGUUUUUUCAGUGUAAUUUACUCAUUUUCAAGAUCCAAUUCGUUAAUUUCUGUAACAUUGUGUUUGUUGUUUUUUCGUAUUGCUACUAUGGCCUUUCCAUCAUUACUCUUGUAGAGACCGGGUAAUAUACAGAAAUGUUCUAACUGUGUUUCCUCUUCGAUUAAAAAACCACAUUAAACCUAAAUUCUAAACCUAUUCGUAACUUUAAUUUGAAUGAAUUGGUACGUUUGGUCGUUUUAAUUUAUUGUAUGGCUCCCCGGAAUUCUUUUGUUUAAUUGAAAAGUUUUUCUACCUAUUUUGAGCGUGUUUUUCGCGAUGUCAAGUUUUGGAUUUAAAUCACAAAGUGUUUUGUAGCCUAUCAGGUCGUUGAAAAAAUGGUGGAAAUCGAAUAUAAAGAAAUUAACGUUUUUCUUUAUCUGAAAGAUAUCCAUCGAAACUGAUUUCUCAAUUUCGUGAAUUCCUCGGAUAUUGGUUACAUUUAUUCCAGAUUCGGUUUGCAAGUUUCUAUUUUAACGUGCUUGGGAGAAAUGUAGUUUUAGUUAGCCCCCGUAUCGACUAAGAAUUUUAUAUUACCUUCAGAAGUGCUGAUAGUCAAAUAAGGUAUAAAAUUGCUACUUUUAAUGUUUUUAAUUUUUCGCCUAGUUCCAGAUGAAAAUUUAAUUCGUCUGAGAUGAAACAAUCAUCGUCGUCAGAGUCCAUUAUCCUCCAUUAGUCGUCGUUAAUGUUUGCUAAGUCUGGUGGAGAAGCGUUAUCCUCUGUUUCUGGUUCAAAAGAUAUCAAUUUUUAGUUGUCAAUAAACUUGUAGACAAUUAAAUUUUCUAUCAAAUUCUCACAUUUAGUGUUUUUCGAAUAUCUAAAGCACCAUCUAGGGACAGAAAUAUGAGCUAGCUCGAGUUGUAAAACCAAUAUUGUUACGAAAAAGUUGCUCUGGACCCCCCGACGGAUCAUUUUGAUCUUAGUUUCAAAUGAAAGGGGAAAGUCCAUUAUUUCAUAUUCCGAAGUUUCAGAGAUGUUGAUUUUUUUUGCAUAAAGUUGGUCUGAUAAAUACACCGUUUGUGCACUGGACCAACUUUAAAAAAAUACGUUUUUAAACAUUUUGUUAUGUUUAAGUUUGUUUGCAGGAAAAAUUAGAAGAUAUUUAGCAUUAAGAAUAAAAUGUAAACUCAAAAAGUGAAAACAAAUGCAUCCGUACGCACACCGAUCGCACACAACCCUGCGCGAAUAUUUCUCAUUUCACCCGUCAACCAACAAACAUGUGGCUGUCUCGUUCAAUCAAUCUAUGCUGCGAAUUCUCACUCACUCACUUUUGCAAAUAGAAGAGCCUUUGCUCAGAGAAUAAACACUCACGGCAAUGCAAAGGGAGAAAAGCAAGAUCGGACCAUCGUACCCUUGCUAAAGCGGAGAGCUUACUUUCGUCAUUCGCUAAUUCUCACACAUCAUAAAUCUCAUCGCAGGGGUGAGCAUACGAUUGCGACCAAGAGCAUGAUUAGUUUUACCCAGUUCGCACACAACGCUGCACGCAAUAGACCGUCGCCGGUCAGUGUCAGAGCAUCCGCUUUGCCGAAUUUUCGGCAGUAGUCACUCAACCCGAUCAAAAUGAAAUAACAAGAUUAUAACACAAUAAAAUUUUCGUAACAGAUUGUGUUAUAAAUUUGGUCUCGUUAGUAGUUAAAUUAACAGAAAAUUACAACAAGUAACAACGUGAGAUACGGUUUUGAAAUCUUUUUGUUAUGUGUUUCUGAUCGGGAAGGCAAGAGAAAAACACAGUCUGGAGUGUGGACGCUAGCGCCGCCAUCUUGCAAGGAAGCCGGCAAAGAAUACCCGGUGCAGACAAUAAUUUUAUCCUGCUCAUUGGGCAACUAGCCACAGCUGAACAGUUUGACAUCCACGAGAAAACAAGGCCACCGUGCGAUUCAUCAGACCGUGAGAGAAGUUUUUCGGAACAAAUCACGUGGCGGAUUGCUUAACAAAAGCCUCCCAUCGAAAGUAAGUUUCCCGCCAUGCUUGAGCACCUGCAAUGAUCGCUUUGCGUCGCAGGGUUUUUGUUUUAUGUUGCAGAUUUUCUUCAGCGAGCAGCCAUCUCACAAAACGGAGUUUCAAUCCACAAGUCUCGCCGUCCCCUAUAGUCGAGAAGCCAGCCGAGACGACCAUCAUACUUUCCAUGUCACGAAAAGAAGCUGGGGUACAGUUUUGGAGUCCGCACACGGCGGAGUGAGCCCACAACGGAGAAUUUAACCGGGGCGCUGUUGAACAGUAGGCGAAGGCGAUAGGAGAGGAAGAAUAGAGGAAAUGAUCGGUGUUUAUGCGUAAAGGGACGCCCCGGAAAGUAAAGGGGGAACACGAAAUUAUUGCGACACCGAAAAUGUCAUGCCAAUUUUCUUAUAAUGUUUAAAAUCAAACCAAAAUUUUAGUGUAGUUUUAUACAUAUAUUUACUUCAAAAAUCAAAAGAAAAGUUAAUCGAUGGAGCCUUGAGUGUAAAAUUGAACGCAUUUUCGAUUGAUGCCCUCCAUCAAAGUCUUUACAGUGUCAUCCGCUACCAGUUUCUCAGUUUUUUUUUUUUCAUUUUCUGAACAUGUCGUUCUCGUCUUUGACUGUCUUCUUGCUCUUCCGAAGUUCUCGCUCCAUCAUUGCCCAGUACUGCUCUACCGGGCGCAGCUCCGGACAGUUUGGCGGAUUCAUGUCCUUUGGAACAAAAUGGACAGAAUUGGCUUCAUACCACUCCAGGGCACUUUUAGAAUAGUGGCAUGAUGCCAAAUCUGGCCAAAAUAGCGGAGCUUCGUCGUGAUGCUGCAAGAAUGGCAAAAAGAUAUCCUCGAGAAUACUAGUAUUCGAAAGGAUAUAGAAAAUUGACCUCUGCACUGAUAGGUGAAUAGAUGCCAAAGUGUUCCAAAAACUAGUUAUUGUCUAUUUUUUGUUCAUAUUAAGGUACAACAACAGCAAUAGCAGCAGUUAAUAAUUAUGGCCAGGAUUCGACCUCAGUUACUCCUCUGUGCGUCGUCCAAAUUUUUAUUCUUAAAGUUUCCAGAUGGGGUUUUGUUCUUGAAUUUAAUUGAAUUCCCAGAGGUGCCAAGAUUUCAAUAAUUUGGUUUAGCAAAGUUUCUAUUGUUUUCAUUUGAUGACUGUCCCGAAUUUCCGUUGUUUGAAAAAUUUGAUCUGGUAUUAUUGCGUUCUAAUUUCUGCCGAUAAGCAGCGUUCGAAUAUUAUGUCGCACAAGUGUACGCUUCCUCUAAUGAUUCGGGUCUAUGACUUCUGACAAUCAUUGAAAGUGAUUCACUGAGACCAUCGAUGCAUCUUGUGGUGCUCAUUAAGCCUAUGAAUGUAUUAAUUUGCUUUGUUGUGCCGCUAAAUUCACUCAUGUAAUUCGCAGUACUUUUGAUUGCGGUAUCAAUUUGUUUAACUUUGUUGUAAUAUUCUGUCAGGGUUUUCUGGCCCUGAUUUAUGUAAAAUAAUGAUUAAAUGCGCGACGUAAUCUCUUUUGUCGCCGUACGAAUUAAGUAAAGCAUCUUUUAUUUCGGGCGAGAUGGACGGGUUGCCUGCCGCGAUGACGAUUUCUUUUGCAUCACCAGUUUAUUUUUUACUUUUGGCGGCUUUUACAGGCUGUGUAAAAACGGGUUGGUCUAUACUGUCGAUGAUGAGGUCUAGUGCUUCUUCGGUUUCAUGUAUCCAGGCGAGAGUUUCUCUUUUAUUCCCGGAGAAGUUGCUUAAGUUUUUUAUUGGAUCUGGGGUUUUGUCUAUCAAAUUGUUUUGAUUUUCUGUGUUCUUUUAAUUUCUUGGACAUACCAUAACUGAAGAAGGCGUAAAACCAAACAGCGAUAAAACUGAAGCGAUAAAGUUAUGGCCCAUUCCAAAAUCAGAAAAAGAAGUACGACAAUUUUUAGGAAUACUAGGUUACUAUAAGCGCUUCAUUAUAGAUUUUGCCAAAGUAGUUAAACCUCUUACAUCUCUUUUAAGAAAAGAUUACGAUUUCACAAUUACGGAAAUUUCAGCCUGUUUCGAAAAAUAUAAACCCCGACAUUACCAGAGAAUUUAUGCUAUAACUAAACACAAAGUGUGUUUUAGUUUUAAGGGAUUUGCCUCAAGCCUCAAGCCGGCGCUAAUCAAUUCCGACAAAAAGUUAGUGUCGGUUUCUGAUGAGGCGAAGCCGAAACGCAACUGUGUAAGAAAUAAGGAUUUGUGCUCUCAAGUACAAAGACUGGUUUUACCAACAAAUUUUCCCCCAGGUGAGAAAUUUUGGUGUUUACCCAAUUUUCCUCCUUAGGGUGAAAUAUAGCAUAGUGCUUUCGCAUAGGCCUGCUAAGCCAAGACAAGUUUCGGCUUCACUGUGUCUCAUCGGCAUAAAUAGAACUUCUGCUCGGACGCGACAUCACGUUUGAUCAGUCGUUCGAUUGAAACACAAAGUGUGUUUUAGUUUUAAGGGAUUUGCGCCAAGCCGGCGCUAAUCUACUCCGACAAAAAGUUAGUGUCGGUUUCUGAUGAGGCGAAGCCGAAACGCAACUGCGUAAGAAAGAAUUUAUAUUGACAACCGAUGCAAGCGACUAUGCUGUCGGAGCCGUUUUGUCACAAGGACCAGUAGCUUACACAUCUAGGACAUUGAACAGAACUGAAGAACGUUACUCCACUACAGAAAAAGAACUCUUGGCUAUAGUUUGAGCAGUAAAAUAUUUUAGACCACACCUCUACGGCAGACAAUUCAAACUUUAUACAGACCAUCAACCACUUACAGUAUGACCAACACGAACAAUAAAAUUUAGAAGAAUUUGACCUCCAAAUCUCUCUCUCUCU